GCGUGGGCGUCGUCCCAUGGUCCACCCGGCUAGUCACCGUCACGGGUGGCGAUAUCCCCAAAUUGCUGGGAAGGCGUAAAGCCGAGCGUACCGCGACUAGGGCGUGAGCCCUAGAGUCUAGACGCUUCUCGACGAUUCGAUUGGUGGUGGCAUCCCCGAGGCUGCGAAAGCGGCGCUAGGGUCGAUAGACAUAACCGAUUGAUGACAUCUCGCGCAGACCUUAAUCGCACCUUUGACAAGGGUACGGUAACAAUCGCUCAGAUAUCCCGCAAGGGUAAUUGCCAAUCAGCAGCCAAGCUCUGGCCGUAAAACGUCAGAGACGGGUUCAACGACUAAAUGGGAAUAGGCGACGGUUUCUGCCGCUUCGCUUAAGAUAUAGUCUAUGGAGUGACGAAAGUCACAG
rnacentral:ncRNA from 1 species